rnacentral:rRNA from 1 species
AAGCGCAAGGUUUAAUCUUGAGGCUCAACCUCAUUCUGCCUUGCGAACUGGGCUACUUGAGUGCUGGAGGGGAAAGCGGAAUUCCUAGUGUAGCGGUGAAAUGCGUAGAUAUUAGGAAGAACACCGGUGGCGAAGGCGGCUUUCUGGACAGUAACUGACACUGAGGCACGAAAGCGUGGGGAGCAAACAGGAUUAGAUACCCUGGUAGUCCACGCCGUAAACGAUGAGCACUAGUUGUUGGGUCCGAAUGGAUUCAGUGACGCAGUUAACGCAAUAAGUGCUCCGCCUGGGGAGUACGGUGGCAACACUAAAACUCAAAGGAAUUGACGGGGACCCGCACAAGCAGCGGAGCAUGUGGUUUAAUUCGAAGCAACGCGAAAAACCUUACCAGGGCUUGACAUCCUCCUGACCGGUGCUUAACCGCACCUUUCUUCGGACAGGAGUGACUGGUGGUGCAUGGUUGUCGUCAGCUCGUGUCGUGAGAUGUUGGGUUAAGUCCCGCAACGAGCGCAACCCUUGUCGUCAGUUACUAACAUUCGGUUGAGGACUCUGACGAGACUGCCGAGGUCAACUCGGAGGAAGGUGGGGAUGACGUCAAAUCAUCAUGCCCCUUAUGUUCUGGGCUACACACGUGCUACAAUGGUCGGUACAAUGAGAAGCAAAAUGGCGACAUGGAGCAAAUCACCAAAACCGAUCCCAGUUCGGAUUGCAGGCUGCAACUCGCCUGCAUGAAGUCGGAGUUGCUAGUAAUCGCGAAUCAGCAUGUCGCGGUGAAUGCGUUCCCGGGUCUUGUACACACCGCCCG